GAUGAACGCUGGCGGCGUGCCUAAUACAUGCAAGUCGAGCGAACAGACGAGGAGCUUGCUCCUCUUACGUUAGCGGCGGACGGGUGAGUAACACGUGGAUAACCUACCUAUAAGACUGGGAUAACUUCGGGAAACCGGAGCUAAUACCGGAUAAUAUCUUUAACCGCAUGGUUCAAUUGUGGAAGACGGUUUUGCUUUCACUUAUAGAUGGAUCCGCGCCGCAUUAGCUAGUUGGUAAGGUAACGGCUUACCAAGGCAACGAUGCGUAGCCGACCUGAGAGGGUGAUCGGCCACACUGGAACUGAGACACGGUCCAGACUCCUACGGGAGGAAGCAGUAGGGAAUCUUCCGAAAUGGGCGAAAGCCUGACGGAGCAACGCCGCGUGAGUGAUGAAGGUCUUCGGAUGGUAAAACUCUGUUAUUAGGGAAGAACAAAUGUGUAAGUAACUAUGCACGUAUUGACGGUACCUAAUCAGAAAGCCACGGCUAACUACGUG
rnacentral:rRNA from 1 species